GAGGGUACAGCUCAGUAGUAGAGCACAUGCUUAGCAAGCACGAGGUCCUGGGUUCAAUCCCCAGUAGCUCCA
rnacentral:tRNA from 1 species